rnacentral:tRNA from 1 species
CGCAGGAUGGAGCAGUUUGGUAGCUCGCCAGGCCCAUAACCUGGAGGUCGGUGGUUCAAAUCCAUCUCCUGCAACCA